AUUGAACGCUGGCGGCAGGCCUAACACAUGCAAGUCGAGCGGAUGAAGGGAGCUUGCUCCUGGAUUCAGCGGCGGACGGGUGAGUAAUGCCUAGGAAUCUGCCUGGUAGUGGGGGAUAACGUCCGGAAACGGGCGCUAAUACCGCAUACGUCCUGAGGGAGAAAGUGGGGGAUCUUCGGACCUCACGCUAUCAGAUGAGCCUAGGUCGGAUUAGCUAGUUGGUGGGGUAAAGGCCUACCAAGGCGACGAUCCGUAACUGGUCUGAGAGGAUGAUCAGUCACCCUGGAACUGAGCCACGGUCCAGACUCCUACGGGAGGCAGCAGUGGGGAAUAUUGGACAGUGGGCGAAAGCCUGAUCCAGCCAUGCCACGUGUGUGAAGAAGGUCUUCGGAUUGUAAAGCACUUUAAGUUGGGAGGAAGGGCAGUAAGUUAAUACCUUGCUGUUUUGACGUUACCAACAGAAUAAGCACCGGCUAACUUCGUG
rnacentral:rRNA from 1 species